rnacentral:rRNA from 1 species
UACGUAGGGUGCGAGCGUUAAUCGGAAUUACUGGGCGUAAAGCGUGCGCAGGCGGCGCCAUAAGACAGAUGUGAAAUCCCCGGGCUUAACCUGGGAACUGCGUUUGUGACUGUGGUGCUCGAGUGCGGCAGAGGGGGGUGGAAUUCCACGUGUAGCAGUGAAAUGCGUAGAGAUGUGGAGGAACACCGAUGGCGAAGGCAGCCCCCUGGGAUAACACUGACGCUCAUGCACGAAAGCGUGGGGAGCAAACAGG